GCGCUCAGGUGAUUACGUUCCGCCUCCCUGCGCAGGCGCAGAGCUAGGAAACGGAGGCGGUCGGAGGGCGCGUGCGCAAGACGAGGCGCUAUUUGCGGCCUCGGGUGGCAAUGGAUGUCUCGGACCCGGUCCGCCCCUAGUCCUUUACGACCCCGGGUGGACUCGGGAGUAGCGCCUCCGGGAAAGAGGAAGUCUAGAGCUAGCCCCGCGGGCGUGGCCCUUCUGACCGAGUCCCCACCCUUCCUCACCUUAGGGCGCAUUACCACUAUUGGUUGAAGGAGAUGGUGCAACGCACAAGGGGUGGCCGCCACCCGGACCCUCUCAUUCACAGAGCAUCGACCCACGGAACCCCUUCUGGGUGACCACUGGCUGGGGAUGGGGAAGCAUGGCCAAACCAAGGCUUGAAUGAGGUCAGCUCACGUGAAUGAGCGCAACCUCCCAGGACCUGGCCGGAGCGUUGCCAUGGUAACCAGAUGGCCUUGGGCAGCGCUGCUCCCGGGCCUGAGCAAUACUGAGGUCUAGUCGUCAGAGAGCGGGGCCGCCAGGAGUCCGGGAGACAAUCAGAACACACCACCCAGUGUCCCUCUGGGAACAGGGCUCUGCUGGCAGCGAGGCCAUGCUUGGGAUGCACUGUCACCUCGUGCUCUUCCACGAGACCUCAAGACUAAGGCCUCGCAGGAGCUCCUUCCCCCUCCCGAGGAGGAAAUGAGGAGCCCAGUAAGGCGCCAGCCCAUCCCUGGUGCAUCCUCUCCUGGGGGCUGUAGAUUCCAAACCACCCGGGCGUGGUGGGACACACCUUUAAUCCCAGCACGCAGGGAGGCAGAGGCAGGCUGAUCUACAAAGGGAGUCCAGGACAGCCAAGAUCUGUAAAUAGACACGAGGGACUGUGUCCGAAGAUUGUGGUGGGUAUGAAACCCUAGAGAGAACAGCGGCCACCACGGAGAAAGAGGGCCAUGCAGUUAGUAAUUGUAUCUGCCGUGGAUUCUCCCUGCAACGAUGUUGACAUUUGGUCUAGGCUCUCUGCCUUCCCUCAAGUUGGUUCAGUGCGGUCUGUGCUGUUUACCUACUUGUAACUGGAUACAGCAGAACGUGGACCUUUCAUGUGCUAGUCAUGUGAGGAGCAGCCUUUGAAAUUCUUGGAAUUUUGUUUUCUUGGCCACCAAUGGGCUCUGAAGGAAUUGAACAGGAAACACCUGGUUCCCCCCCACACACCCUUCACCUAGAGCUUUUUUACAGAACACCAGUUCUAUUUCAGGAGGCAAUACAGUGGAGUGUCAACACUUAAUUGAACGUUAGCUUUCUCUGCCUGUGAGUUCAAGGCCAGCCUGGUCUACAGAGUGAGUUCCAGGAUAGUCAAGACUAUUAAAAAGGGGCUGGAGAGAUGGCUCAGAGGUUAAGAGCACUGGCUGUUCUUCAAAAGGUCCUGAGUUCAAUUCCCAGCAACCACAUGGUGGCUCACAACCAUCUAUAAUGAGAUCUAGUGCAGGCAGAACACUAUGUAUGUAAUAAGUAAAAUAAAUCUUGAAAAAAAAAAAGACUAUUAAAAAAUUAAAAGGGAAAAAAAAAGAAUCCCUAUCUCAGAAACCAAAUAAAUAAACAAUAGCUUUCAAACUGCAACGAGAGAAAGUAAAGUUUGAACAAAUUUCUUCAACUGGAAAAGCAUAGUUUUGAAAAUACAGAAAAACAAUGGUUAGAGCAUGGAUCUUUUUAAGAGUAGGAUAAUAAAGCAAGCAGGGGUGGUAGCACAUGCCUGUAGUCCCAGCACUCAGGAAGUGAGAGGCAGGGGGAUCUCUGUGAGUUCUAAGCCAGCCUGAUCUAUAAAGCAAGUCCAGGACAGCCAAGACUACACAGAGAAACCCUGUCUCAAAAAAAAAAAAAAAAAAAAAAAAAAAAAGGAAAAUUAAAAGCAGUUUAGAAUCCUGGCACCUUGCCUUUACUUCACAUCCGUCUCUUCUGGCUUAGACUUGUGUCAGGUCUCUGUGUGACACGGACAUAAAAUUGAAGGCACGUCCGCCCUAAGCAGAGACCAAGCAGACCAUAGCUCGCCAAACCUGCCUCAUUAUGCAGACCUGGUCCUCUGUUUAAACCUGAAGCUCAUGUCAGUGCUCUCAGAGGUGGGAGACAUUUUUACCUCCUGCAUCCCCAAAAUGGCUGCUUUUAAGCCCCCUUUUGCCUCUAGAUACACGUAUGUUUCAUUCUAAGUAUUUGAACAUUUUAAUUGCAGCCUGAA